rnacentral:rRNA from 1 species
ACAGAGGGUGCUAGCGUUAUUCGGAAUUAUUGGGCGUAAAGGGCGCGUAGGCGGCUACGUAAGUCAGGUGUGAAAUCCCGGGGCUUAACCCCGGAAGUGCGCCUGAUACUGCGUAGCUUGAGUCCUGGAGAGGGUGGUGGAAUUCCUGGUGUAGAGGUGAAAUUCGUAGAUAUCAGGAGGAAUACCAGUGGCGAAGGCGACCACCUGGACAGAGACUGACGCUGAGGCGCGAAAGCGUGGGGAGCAAACA